rnacentral:ribozyme from 14 species
AAGCAAAUUCGACCCAAAAUCGCCUGCACUCAUGAUUCUUCGUGUUCCUCUCUCUCUUUUUUCUCUUUCUGUCUCAUUUGUACUUCCUUCAAUGCGUCAGGAGGUACAUGACAACAGGAAGUAU